UACGUAGGGUGCGAGCGUUAAUCGGAAUUACUGGGCGUAAAGCGUGCGCAGGCGGCUUUGCAAGACAGAUGUGAAAUCCCCGGGCUCAACCUGGGAACUGCUUUCAAAACUGCUGAGCUAGAGUACGGCAGAGGGGGAUGGAAUUCCGCGUGUAGCAGUGAAAUGCGUAGAUAUGCGGAGGAACACCAAUGGCGAAGGCAAUCCCCUGGGCCUGUACUGACGCUCAUGCACGAAAGCGUGGGGAGCAAACAGG
rnacentral:rRNA from 1 species